rnacentral:rRNA from 1 species
GACGAACGCUGGCGGCGUGCUUAACACAUGCAAGUCGAACGGAAAGGCCCUGCUUUUGUGGGGUGCUCGAGUGGCGAACGGGUGAGUAACACGUGAGUAACCUGCCCUUGACUUUGGGAUAACUUCAGGAAACUGGGGCUAAUACCGUAUAGGAGCUCCUGCUGCAUGGUGGGGGUUGGAAAGUUUCGGCGGUUGGGGAUGGACUCGCGGCUUAUCAGCUUGUUGGUGGGGUAGUGGCUUACCAAGGCUUUGACGGGUAGCCGGCCUGAGAGGGUGACCGGCCACAUUGGGACUGAGAUACGGCCCAGACUCCUACGGGAGGCAGCAGUGGGGAAUAUUGCACAAUGGGCGGAAGCCUGAUACAGCAACGCCGCGUGCGGGAUGACGGCCUUCGGGUUGUAAACCGCUUUCGCCUGUGACGAAGCGUGAGUGACGGUAAUGGGUAAAGAAGCACCGGCUAACUACGUG